GUUUCGGUGGCCAUAGCGAGAGGGAAACGCCCGGUCCCAUUCCGAACCCGGAAGCUAAGCCUCUCAGCGCCGAUGGUACUGCACUCGGGAGGGUGUGGGAGAGUAGGACGCCGCCGAACA
rnacentral:rRNA from 1 species